CUUAAUUUCCCGCCAACUCCACUCCAGGUAAGUUUAAAGCAAGAGCUAGGCAGUUGACGUGCAGGGGUUCUAGCUCUCAGGUAAAUACAGAGUUCAAUACACAGGUGAGUAUUCACAGGGCUAAGCUGUUAGCGUGCAGGGGUUCUUGCUCUUAGGUAAGUACAGCGUUCAAUACAAAGGUAAGUAUUCACAGGGCUGGGCUGUUGGCGUGCAGAGGUUCUAGCUCUCAGGUAAGUACAGCGUUCAAUACACAGGUAAGUAUUCACAGGGCUAGGCUGUUAAUGUGCAGAGGUUCUAGCUCUCAGGUAAAUACAGUGUUCGACACACAGGUGGGUAUUCACAGGGCUGAGCUGUUAGCGUGCAGGGGUUCUAGCUCUCAAUGUAAGUACAGUGUUCCAUACACAGGUAAGUAUUCACAGGGCUGAGCUGUUAGCGUGCAGGGGUUCUAGCUCUCAAUGUAAGUACAGUGUUCCAUACACAGGUGGGUAUUCACAGGGCUGGGCUGUUAGCGUGCAGGGGUUCUAGCUCUCAGGUAAGUACAGUGUUCGAUACACAGGUAAGUAUUCACAGGGCUGAGCUGUUAGCGUGCAGGGGUUCUAGC